GCACCGAGGAGGGAUGCGGUGGCCCGCACCCAGGCGUGCCCUAGCAGCGGGAACAGUACUGCAGUGGGCGGUCGGUGCUCUGAAGUAUUGUUUCUGCUGCCAGGCCAAAUCUGGGACUCCCGCACGGGCCCACCCACCAGGUAAACCCUAGUCCAGCGCCUGCGAAGUCCAACCCCGGGAGCCGCGGGGAGACUCAGGACUAGUGCAUUUGCUCUCCAUCAACAGUUUGCCCGUCUUUAAAUAUGUAAACGGGGAAAAGAGGCCUCAUUUUAGCACCCCUUGCCCCGCUGACUAAAAUUUAAACUAUUACAGUAAUUCCUUCCUAAUUACUUAGAAUACCACUCACACGACAAAAACGAAGGACUACUUUCUGGCCCCAACAAUCAAAUGGUGGAGUUGGGGGGGGGUAUUGGAAAAAGAGUAAGGGGAGAGGCAGGAAGGGUGACCCGGUGCAAGCAGUCCCUAGCCCUCUCAGCGGCUGCUGGUUAAAUGGGUUCUGUCCUGCCCCGCGUGUGAAAAGGAUUUGAAGUCCAGGAAAGAUGAAAGUUUCUGGCCCCUUCCCGACCCCCUCCCUCCUUUCCUCCUAGCUGUGUUGGGGGGACCCUCAGGCGGAGGAGCAGCGAGGUCCGGGCGUGUAGGCCGGUAACCCCAGGCCAGGGAAGGAGCUGACCCUUUCGAUUUGAGGUCUGUAGGGGGAGCGGGGGACCUGAAGGGGUGGCUCCGGAAUGAGGCUCUGCGUUUCUAGGUGCUGCUUGCCCUAUCCACCCAAAAUCUGGUCCUGGAAUUCCACUCUGCAGGCGCCACCCCAAGGCCACCUUUGUUGCCCCAGGGGUCUCACUGAAGGGAUUGCUCCCCUGGCAGGACAUUGACAUGACACUUCCUGAGAAAACGGCAGCACCUGAGCUGUCGACUCAGGGUCCCAUCGUGCCUCCAAAGCUCUGGGCACUAGUGCUAAUUAGUGUUGCACAUCACCUCCAAAGCCACCUCCACCAUUACUGGGAGUCCCGAGUCCACUAGGAGUUUGACAGCUGGCCUAGGAAAGAGAGGUCCAAUUCUCUGGCUGAGGGCUCACUUUUCCUGUGACAAUCACUUUAGAUUAAGUACUUGUUUUGACCUGGCGCCUCGGCAGGUAAGGACUACUGGCAGAAGACAAAGGGAGGUGUGGAAUCUCGUCCACGGUUUACGUCAGCUUAAAAGAAAGAACACGCAGGAAAACCCCUUCGGUCUGUGGCGCCGCCUUGAAGUAGCUUCCCCAGGCCGGGAGCGGGUCCGCAGCCGAGUUCCGGGCUGCGAAGGCCCGGGAUUCAGGUGGUGGUGGCUGGAGUUCCGCCCGGCUCUGCGCGCCUCCCCCCAAAGCCUCCCACCACCGGCCGCGGCCCCAGAUGCCCUUGAGCUUGGACGGGCCUGGGCGGUUUGGGCCCUUCUGGGUUCCCAGGGCCGUCGGGACCCCCAGACCUGGAGGUUUUAGGGUGGGCUACUGCCAGCCCCUGGCGGCCCGGGCGCCUCAGGCCAGCCACCCAGAGGCCUGGACAGAGAACAGAUUCCCCACUCGCCUUUCCUUUGCACUUGGGCUUCGGGGAGGCACCUCGAGACGAGACUGCCUUCCUGCCUCUGACCAACCUGCCCUCUCUCUCUCUGUCCCCGCUCUGCGCAAAGUCCCCCUCAAGCCGGGAGGCAUCUGGUAGCACCUGGCGCCCAGCCCUUGGGGAGGACCUUGCCUGCGCCAGCCUGUUGUCUACAGUGGGCGUCCGCAGGACCCAGGAAUAUUUUUUUGAAGACAUCCAGCAUCUCCAGUUAGCAGUACUGACCUUUUUUUCCAACAAAGAAACACUACAUCAACACUCUUGGCCCGGAUCUGGACACAGAAGACUCCUGUUUCAAGAAAAUACAAUCAUCUCUCAAAGUCUGUAAUUUAUAUGCAUUUCUAACUCACUAGGUAUUGAAAACCACCCAAGUGUCCCACAACAUGGGCUAAAAUAUAAUCAAUCACUCAGUGUAACAUUAUACAUCCUUUAAAAAUGUUAUUGGAAAAUGUUUUACGAUCUGUAAGACGAAAUAACCCUCUCCCACAAUUUCUUUCUCCCUGCUGCUCCCCCAUACCCAUGCUUCUUUGUUCCAAUUGGCAUGUAAACUUGUUUUUCCCGCCAAAUGAGUCAGUCACUAUGGGAACGUCAAUUGAUUUGAGCAGAUGUGUGUCAAUGUUACUUGGAAAACUAGAUGCCAAUAACCAGGCAGUGGUUGCAACUCUGUAAAAAUUUAUGUGUUCAUACAGACAAGGGCUAAAGUGGAACACAAAACAGGAAAACAGUUGGAUAUACUCCAGUGCUGAGAGAUUGAAUGAUUGUAUGCUGCUUUUGAUUUCCAUUAAUACGGACAACUGUCCAAUUAAAAAGACAUAAUAAGGA